rnacentral:lncRNA from 1 species
UGUUGUAAUAAUGUGGGAAUAAAAGGGGUUGAUACUGAGAAGAUAAAAAAAUACGCCGAAGAGGUAUAUGAGGCAUUUAACACAAUGAAUGAUAAUAAUAUUUAUAUGGAUUAUUUGAAUGACAAUGGACAAGAAAUAUAUGAUACUAAAAGGAAUAAAAUAAAAAACUUUGAUAAUAAAAAAAAUGAUAAUUUAAAAAAUGUAUAUGAACAUGUCACUAAUGAAAAAAAUAUUAGUUUAAUUAAACUUUUUAUAUGUUUAAGUAAAUAUUGUUAUAAUUAUAUACAUCUCUUUUUAUUUAUGCAGUAUCAUGAUUUGAUAGUUUAUACAUAUGACAAGAAAAUUAUGCCUUUUUUUUGUUUGAAUGAUGGUGAGUAUAUAGAUAGAUGUGCGAUGAGUCCUGUAAAUGAUAUUAGUUCUGAUAGUAAUGAUAGUGUGACUUUUUUUGAUGUACAAACUAGUAAUAUAAUAAAGGGUGAUAAUCAUGGAAGCACAUGUAGCAAAAAUAAUGAUGUAUGUGCUUUUUCAAAUGGGUCAACGAAACAAGAAGAAGCAGUCUGUUUAUGUAAUAAUAAAGAAAAUAAAUUAGUUGAUUAUAAGAAAGCAAACAAUAAAUUUUGUUUUUUUAUAAAAUAUAUUUAUAAAAAAUUAUUAAUAAAUAAAAUAAACGAACAGAAUGAUGUAAUAAAAUUCAAAAUAUUUCAGUAUAUACCUAUUAAUGAUAUUCGUAAAAGUGUAAUAAGAAUUGAAGAUGAGUUUUUAAAUUUAAAAAGUGAAUUUUUACAAAGCACUUAUGCAAUAUCAUCAGUAAAUAAACAGUUGAUGAAUUACUUAGUUGACACAAAUUAUGAUGUAAUUACUAAUGCUAUGUUAAGUUUUUUAAUAGAUUAUUUGAACAAUAUUAAUUUGAAAAAUUUGGCUAUACAUGUACCAUAUUUUUUACACAUGGUUUGUAAAAAAAUUAUAAAUACAUAUGUUAUGCAGGGCAAACUGUGCAUUAAAUUUUUGUCAACGUUGAAAAGUGCAUGU